rnacentral:tRNA from 1 species
GGGGAUUUGGCUCAGCGGUAGAGCGUUUGCCUAGGAAGCGCAAGGCCCUGGGUUCGGUCCCCAGCUCCG